rnacentral:rRNA from 1 species
UUUAUCUGGUAAAGCGAAUGAUUAGAGGCCUUGGGGCCGAAACGAUCUCAACCUAUUCUCAAACUUUAAAUGGGUAAGAAGCCCGGCUCGCUGGCUUGGAGCCGGGCGUGGAAUGCGAGCCGCCUAGUGGGCCACUUUUGGUAAGCAGAACUGGCGCUGCGGGAUGAACCGAACGCCGGGUUAAGGCGCCCGAUGCCGACGCUCAUCAGACCCCAGAAAAGGUGUUGGUUGAUAUAGACAGCAGGACGGUGGCCAUG